rnacentral:rRNA from 1 species
UACAGAGGUCUCAAGCGUUGUUCGGAUUCAUUGGGCGUAAAGGGUGCGUAGGCGGCGCGGUAAGUCGGGUGUGAAAUCUCGGAGCUUAACUCCGAAACUGCAUUCGAUACUGCCGUGCUUGAGGACUGGAGAGGAGACUGGAAUUUACGGUGUAGCGGUGAAAUGCGUAGAUACCGUAAGGAAGACCAGUGGCGAAGGCGGAUCUCUGGACAGUUCCUGACGCUGAGGCACGAAGGUCAGGGGAGCAAACGGG